GGGUUAGUAGGUUGGUCGUGCCUUUGGUAUGUACUGGCUUCACUGAUUCCUCCUUCUUGAAGAACUGUAAUGUCAUUAAUUUGGUGUUGCAGGGACACAGGACUGUUACUUUGAAAAAAUUAGAGUGUUUAAAGCAGGCCGAUGCCUGAAUACAUUAGCAUGGAAUAAUGAAAUAGGACGUUGAUCUUAUUUUGUUGGUUUCUAGGAUCACCGUA
rnacentral:rRNA from 1 species